rnacentral:lncRNA from 1 species
CAAAGUUCACUCAAAAUUUGAGUAGAGUUUUCUUAGAUUAAUUCCAAUCUGAAUUUUACAAGGAGAGCACCUCUAUUUAUAGCCUAAGGUGCUGAAAAUGCAAGCUAAACAAUUUCAAAAUUCCCUCCUAAAACAUUCUAGAACCGGCGCCUAUUCCAUGCAUGAGGAAGGUGUGACUCUUUCCUUCACUUUGGCACCUCCUAUUCUACUCCUACACCUAUCUACUAAUACACCCC